CAGAGUUCGUGCCCUCCGGGUAGAUCUCCCACCCACUGUUAUCACUACUCUCGUUGCUUUGGCGGGCCGCUGGGCCCUGCCCGGCCGCCGGCUCCGGCUGGCGCGUGCCCGCCAGAGGCUCCGCAAACUCUGAAUGUCAGUGUCGUCCGAGUACUAUGUAAUCAUUA
rnacentral:misc_RNA from 2 species